AGAAGUUAAGCUCUCUAGCGCUGAUGGUACUUNUGAAACCCUGCACUUACAAGCUGUGGAAGCACAUUUCUUGUGUGACCGCGUACUUUUUGUAGAACGGGCCAACGAGUUACGUUAAGUAGCAAGGUUAAGCACUUAAGGUGCGGAGCCGUAGCGAAAGCGAGUUUUAACUGAGCGUUCAGUUACUUGACGUAGACCCGAAACCGGGCGACCUACCCAUGAGCAGGAUGAAGCGAAAGUAAAAUUUCGUGGAGGUCCGAACCCACGAGCGUUGAAAAGCUCGGGGAUGACUUGUGGGUAGCGGUGAAAUUCCAAUCGAGCCCGGAGAUAGCUGGUUCUCCCCGAAAUAGCUUUAGGGCUAGCCUCAAGGUGAGAGAUACGGAGGUAGAGCACUGAAUGUCCUAGGGGGUAUUGCACCUACCGAAGACUAUCAAACUCCGAAUGCCGUCAUCUUAUACUUGGGAGUCAGACUGUGGGUGAUAAGAUUCAUAGUCGAAAGGGCAACAGCCCAGAUCGUCAGCUAAGGUCCCUAAAUGUAAGUUAAGUGGUAAAGGAUGUGGGAUUGCACAGACAACCAGGAUGUUGGCUUAGAAGCAGCCACUCAUUCAAAGAGUGCGUAAUAGCUCACUGGUCGAGUGAUCCUGCGCCGAAGAUUUCCGGGGCUAAAACUUACUACCGAAGCUACGGCAUCAGUAAUGAUGGGUAGGGGAGCUUCCCAUACGGGUUGAAGCAUGACCGUAAGGACAUGUGGACAGUAUGGGAGUGAGAAUGUUGGCAUGAGUAGCGAGAUGUGGGUGAGAAUCCCACAGGCCGUAAACCCAAGGUUUCCAGGGGAAGGUUCGUCCGCCCUGGGUUAGUCGGGACCUAAGCUGAGGCCGAAAGGCGUAGGUGAUGGACAACAGGUUGAUAUUCCUGUACUACCGAUAACCGUUUGAGAGAAGGGAUGACACAGUAGGAUAAGCUAAGCACACUGUUGGUUAUGUGUGCCCAAGCAUUGAGGCAGUCAAAGUAGGCAAAUCCGCUUUGAUAAUGCUGGGAUGUGAUGGGGAGCGAAAUUUAGUAGCGAAGUAGCUGAUUUCACACUGUCAAGAAAAGUCUCUAUCGAGGUUAAAGGUACCCGUACCGCAAACCGACACAGGUGGGUGAGGAGAGUAUCCUAAGGCCAGCGAGAGAACUGUUGUUAAGGAACUCGGCAAAAUGACCCCGUAACUUAGGGAUAAGGGGUGCCACCAUCAGGUGGCCGCAGAGAAUAGGCCCAAGCGACUGUUUACCAAAAACAUAGGUUUCUGCUAAGUCGCAAGACGAUGUAUAGGAGCUGACGCCUGCCCGGUGCUGGAAGGUUAAGGGGAUCUGUUAGAGCAAUCGAAGCAGUGAACUUAAGCCCCAGUAAACGGCGGCCGUAACUAUAACGGUCCUAAGGUAGCGAAAUUCCUUGUCGGGUAAGUUCCGACCCGCACGAAAGGCGUAACGAUUUGGGCACUGUCUCAACAACAGACUCGGUGAAAUUGUAAUUCCGGUGAAGAUGCCGGAUACCUGCGACAGGACGGAAAGACCCCAUGGAGCUUUACUGUAGCUUGACAUUGGGUCUUGGUACUACAUGUACAGGAUAGGUGGGAGGCUUUGAAACCAGGACGCCAGUUUUGGCGGAGCCAUCCUUGGGAUACCACCCUUGUAGUACUGGGACUCUAACCAUAGGCCAUGAAUCUGGUCUUGGGACACUGUCAGGUGGGCAGUUUGACUGGGGCGGUCGCCUCCCAAAAGGUAACGGAGGCGCUCAAAGGUUCUCUCAGUACGGUCGGAAAUCGUACGUAGAGUGUAAAGGCAAAAGAGAGCUUGAUUGCAAGACAUACAGGUCGAGCAAGGAUGAAAAUCGGACUUAGUGAUCCGGUGGUUCUGCGUGGAAGGGCCAUCGCUCAACGGAUAAAAGCUACCCUGGGGAUAACAGGCUUAUCUCCCCCAAGAGUCCACAUCGACGGGGAGGUUUGGCACCUCGAUGUCGGCUCAUCACAUCCUGGGGCUGUAGUAGGUCCCAAGGGUUGGGCUGUUCGCCCAUUAAAGUGGUACGCGAGCUGGGUUCAGAACGUCGUGAGACAGUUCGGUCCCUAUCCGUCGCAGGCGUAGGAAAUUUGAGAAGACCUGUCCUUAGUACGAGAGGACCGGGAUGGACGUACCUCUGGUGUACCAGUUGUCCUGCCAAGGGCAUGGCUGGGUAGCUAUGUACGGAAUGGAUAAGCGCUGAAAGCAUCUAAGCGCGAAGCCAACUUCAAGAUAAGAUUUCCCACCGCAAGGGUAAGACCCCAGAAAGACUAUCUGGUUGAUAGGUCGAAGGUGUAAGUGCAGCAAUGUAUUUAGCUUAUCGAUACUAAUAGGUCGAGGACUUGACCAA
rnacentral:rRNA from 1 species